ensembl:lncRNA LINC02123 long intergenic non-protein coding RNA 2123
GCUCCUGACUGCUGCUCUCAAGCUCAAGUGGGAGAAUUAAGACAGCCUCAUUCACUGCUCAGCACUUCCUUUGCUCUGAUGAUCAUCAGAAAUCAUCUCAGUCUUCCUUGCGCUGCUCCUUCUUUUCCUGAAGUUCCGAUGCUCCAGCUUCAAUCCUCAAACUUGGAAAAAAAAAAAAAAAAGGAAAUAUCUGUAGUCCUUGCAACUGCUUUUUGAAGUUGUGCUCGGGCCCCUGUUGUUUCUCUACUGAAGCUUGCAGUGUGCUUUCAUCGGAGCUGGCCCCUGCCCCAGCCAGCACCAGCCCUCAAAGACUUUUUUAUUCUAACAUAGCCCGAGUAUGUUAGGAAACUAGAGCUGCAUAACCACUGCCUCUUAACUCUGCUAGCCCUGGCAUCUUAUCUGUAUGAUUUCUGCAGUGAUGGGAGGGAAGCUAGUAGCUCUCUAGUUCAUUAAACGGAACGUCUGUCUAGGAAGAUACCAGGAAGAUAUUUUAUAAAUGAAUGUCGAUAUUUUUCCUUCCAAUGUAAUUAGAUAUUCUGUUUCAAUCUAAGGCUCUUCUUACAGGCAAAAGGAAUAAUGAAGCUUUCAACCAUGAUACAACUGAGAAGAUUUCAGCAUCCACAUAGAAAGAAAAGCAGGGCAAUGCACCCUCCAAGCUUAGGAAGGAGGCAGCCAGAGAACUCCUGGCUCCUUUGUGGGGCUUCACUGAGAAGAUGAACCUGCCGAUGAGGUGUGCAGAGAACUUUGGCUGCACAAGUUAAGAGGAAGAGGCUGAGUCUCAGCUCAGAGAGUGCUGGUAAUGCCAAGCACAGCAGAGCUGCCAGAGGGAUCUACUUGGAAUCUGGGGAGGCCCUGGGGAGACUAACUGGUACAAUUUAAAGAGAUGCAAAGCAAAUGAUAUGCGGGGCAAUCAUGUGAAAAGCCUGCUGCCUUACAGGAUGGACUCCAGCUGCUCAGUGGGACGGGCUGUUGGGGGCUGGGUUUUGGUAGGGCAAGAGGGCCCCGGAUGGAGUGAUGGACACUCUAACUCACUACUCCGCCGUCCAAUACAGUCCAGAUUGUUCAACAACUCUGAGAAUAAAUGGUCUUUUUUAAAAAAUUGGUGUCAAACCUACUGUACUGGGUUGAUGUGAAAUUGAAAUUGAAAUAAGUUGUAUAUAAAAUGUCUGGCACAUAGUAGUGAUCAAUAAAUAUUAAUCCCUUCCCCAGACCAAUGCUGUAUUUCCAUUUCUGGGGCACAUGCCACAUUGUCUAAAUCAAUGUUUUAUUCACUCAUACAUCAAAGAUAAUGGAAACACUUAUAUUUUAGAAAGAACUUACUGUACAUUUUAUAUUCUUUUUGGUAAAUUGAAUAAACACUCUUCAGAGAUAUAUAAACCUAGAUUUCCUGAUAGACUUUGCAUUAGAACAUUGGUGGAAGAGAAUGCACCAGAAAAUC